GUGCUCCCUUCAGCAGCACAUAUACUAGAAUUAAAGUGAUACAGGGAUUAGCAUGGCUCCAGGGCAAGGAUGACACACACAAAUUUGUGAAGUGUUCCCUUUUUUU
rfam:Canis lupus familiaris chromosome 14, whole genome shotgun sequence.